rnacentral:rRNA from 1 species
UGCAAGUCGAACGCUGAAGCCUGGUGCUUGCACCGGGUGGAUGAGUGGCGAACGGGUGAGUAACACGUGAGUAACCUGCCCCUGACUUCGGGAUAAGCCCGGGAAACUGGGUCUAAUACCGGAUACGACUGCCGGACGCAUGUCUGGUGGUGGAAAGUUUUUUCGGUUGGGGAUGGGCUCGCGGCCUAUCAGUUUGUUGGUGAGGUAAUGGCUCACCAAGACGACGACGGGUAGCCGGCCUGAGAGGGCGACCGGCCACACUGGGACUGAGACACGGCCCAGACUCCUACGGGAGGCAGCAGUGGGGAAUAUUGCACAAUGGGGGAAACCCUGAUGCAGCGACGCAGCGUGCGGGAUGACGGCCUUCGGGUUGUAAACCGCUUUCAGCAGGGAAGAAGCGCAAGUGACGGUACCUGCAGAAGAAGUACCGGCUAACUACGAGCCAGCAGCCGCGGUAAUACGUAGGGUACGAGCGUUGUCCGGAAUUAUUGGGCGUAAAGAGCUCGUAGGUGGUUGGUCACGUCUGCUGUGGAAACGCAACGCUUAACGUUGCGCGUGCAGUGGGUACGGGCUGACUAGAGUGCAGUAGGGGAGUCUGGAAUUCCUGGUGUAGCGGUGAAAUGCGCAGAUAUCAGGAGGAACACCGGUGGCGAAGGCGGGACUCUGGGCUGUAACUGACACUGAGGAGCGAAAGCAUGGGGAGCGAACAGGAUUAGAUACCCUGGUAGUCCAUGCCGUAAACGUUGGGCACUAGGUGUGGGGGGCAUUCCACGUUCUCCGCGCCGUAGCUAACGCAUUAAGUGCCCCGCCUGGGGAGUACGGUCGCAAGGCUAAAACUCAAAGGAAUUGACAGGGGCCCGCACAAGCGGCGGAGCAUGCGGAUUAAUUCGAUGCAACGCGAGAACCUUACCAAGGCUUGACAUACACCGGACCGUCCUGAACAGGUCUUCUUCUUG